rnacentral:rRNA from 1 species
AGUGAACGCUGGCGGUAGGCCUAACACAUGCAAGUCGAACGGCAGCACAGUAAGAGCUUGCUCUUACGGGUGGCGAGUGGCGGACGGGUGAGGAAUACAUCGGAAUCUACUUUUUCGUGGGGGAUAACGUAGGGAAACUUACGCUAAUACCGCAUACGACCUACGGGUGAAAGCAGGGGAUCUUCGGACCUUGCGCGAUUGAAUGAGCCGAUGUCGGAUUAGCUAGUUGGCGGGGUAAAGGCCCACCAAGGCGACGAUCCGUAGCUGGUCUGAGAGGAUGAUAGGCCACACUGGAACUGAGACACGGACCAGACUACUACGGGAGGCAGCAGUGGGGAAUAUUGGACAAUGGGCGCAAGCCUGAUCCAGCCAUACCGAGUGGGUGAAGAAGGCCUUCGGGUUGUAAAGCCCUUUUGUUGGGAAAGAAAAGCAGCAGGUUAAUACCCCGCUGUUCUGACGGUACCCAAAGAAUAAGCACCGGCUAACUUCGUG